GACGAACGCUGGCGGCGUGCUUAACACAUGCAAGUCGAACGGAAAGACCCUGCUUUUGUUCCUUUCUCGAUUGCCGAACGGGUGUGUAACACGUGUGUAUCCUGCCCUUGUCUUUGUGGUAUCUUCAGGAAACUCGGGCUCAUACCGCAUAGGAUCUCCUGCUGCAUGUUGUUGGUUGGAAAGUUUCGGCGGUUGUGGAUGGUCUCGCGGGUUAUCCGCUUGUUUGUGGGGUAGUGGCUUACCAAGGCUGUGACGGGUAGGCGGCCUGAGAGGGGUACCGGCGACAUGGCGACUGAGAGACGGAGCAGAAUCGUACGGGAGGCAGCGGUGGAGAGUAUGGCACAACGGGCGGAAGUGUGAGGCAGCGACGCCGCGAGCGGGAAAAUGGCUUUCGGGUGGAGAACAGAUUUGGCAGGAGACGAAGAGUGAGUGACGGUAAUGGGUAAAGAAGCACCGGCUAACUACGUG
rnacentral:rRNA from 1 species